UAUAUUUUAUAUAAGAUAAUAAUGGUAAACUGUAUUUUUUGAACAAUUAAUUGUAUUUAUUAAAUUAUUAUUAGUUAAUCACAAAAUGAUAUAUUUAUUAUUAAAUUUUAAUAUAUUUUUAAUAAACAUAAAAUUUAAAUACUUAAAUUUUUGAAAUAAGGGAGUAGAAAAUAAGAAAUAAAAAAUAGAUAGAUAUAACUAAUUUAAUAAAUUUUAAGAGAAUAAGUUAGAAAUGGUAAAAAAUAAAAUAUAAGAACAAAUAGUCAUUUAGACAUUUAGCAAUAAAUAUUUUCUUUAUAUAUAAAGAAAUGUUUUACUCCCUCCUGAGGCUAUCCAAAGAAGCUGCAAUGUCACUAAUUCAUGUCUCUCCAGCUUGACACGUGGACUCUUCAAAGAGCGUGUUAUUCACUUUGAUUUUUCUUUUAACCUAACCAACCUUUGCCGUUCCGCAUCCUCUUCCCAAACGAUCCAACUGAGAAACGCCAGUCUUUAUGGAAUUGAAACCUCAAUACCCACUACUUCAUCUUCAAUGCUUCGUUACUUCUUCUUCGAGUUUGCACAUAGAGUAUAUAUAGAGGAUUUGAGCGUCUUCACAGUCAUCGAUUUGAUUCGCCUUCAAUCGCAUAACCCCAAAGCUCUCUCACCAAUAUCCGAUAAUGGCUAAUCAACAGCGCCUAUUCUCAGAGUUAAGAUAGGCCGUUGUAUAAAUUGGGUUGUGACAAGGCUCCUUCGGUUUAGGGAAGCUCACAAUGUCAAGAAAAGAGAUCCUUCUUGCAAAUUGAUGGAAAGAUAUUCAGAACUUGACAGUUCUUUCCGGACCUUUCACUCUGGAAACGGUAGCUUCCCGUCAUGGUGAAUUGUAAAACCCACUCGAGAAUUGGGAUGGUACGUACUGAUCAUGAACUAGAAGCUAUCAGGCAGCGAAGAAUGCAAGAGUGAUGGUUCAACAUAGCACUGUAACUUCUAAUUUCUAAUAGCGUUCAUGGGAAUCAUGCAAUCAUCAGAAUCCGGAUCAAGAGAGAGCACAAGAAGAUGCUAAAAAUUGUGUUAAUUUGCUGACUAUUAGCUGAAAAAUAAACUCUGUAUUGAGCUAAACUACUCUCUGAUUGGAACCUAUGUUUAGGGAAGAUGAUGAGCGUAUGUUUAGGGAAGCUGAUGAAUGUGUUUACAGAUCCAGAGACGUCGUGCGUACGCUAUUUCGUGUCUUCUCAUUCAUUUUUACUUGAACUCUUCUGUGACCUUAUCAUCACUGCGAUAGUUAUACUCUGACUUUGCAUCUUCUGCAAAAGUUAGAGUAGCUGAAAAAAUAACAGUCGUCUCCAUCAACGGCAGAGAGAGAAAGAAAGGCAGAGGAAUACAGAAACCGUAGCUUAUUAUACUCGAGAUCUUUAAGAGUGUGAUCGUACAGAGUUAGAGAAGAGAAGUACAUGAGUGUUGUUGAUCUUUCUCAUCCACCAUUAAGUAAUAGAGGAUAUAUUUGAGUUCCAUAGAUGAUAAAAUAACAUUUCUUAGUUAAAACUAUUGAAUCGCCUUAUGUCACAUGUAUUCAACCUAUGUCAUUAGACUAACUUUAUAAGGCGGUUUCACUAUUUUCAGGGUAGUUAAUUUCCUUUUGGUCAACAAACAAGAAGAUAACUAAUCAAAAGUGAGUUAAAAAAAAAACUUAUCAAAAGUAAGAAAAUAAAUUAUCAUAAUUAAUUAUAUUUAGUUAAAAUGAUAUAUAUCAAAUUUUAAUCGGUCAAUUAUUGGUGUAUUGCAUUUUUAGAACCUUUGUGCAUAAAAAAAAAUUACAUGAAUCAAGAUAGCUAAUCAAAAUUUUCAUAAAUCAAACAACGUUUAUUUUAUGUAUACUUUAGCUUUGAAAUUGUUUUAUAAUUCACAUCCCGCUCGUAGGGCGGGCCGACCCUAGUAAAUUAAAUAAAAUAUUGGAGAAAAGCAUGGUCAAACGUGAACGUAUGUGGUACCGUUGACUUAAUUUAACCAAAUAAGCUAGAUUUACAUGCACAAAAUUAUGUUACAAACACAAUAUAAAUUUAGUAUGAGGCACGCGACCCACCCUUGAUUCAAGUAGAUCUGCCCCUUCUUGUAAACCAAAAUCAUCGUUUAAUUCUCUCAUAGAUGAAAAAACCCUUCUUCACAAAUUCUUUCUUUCUGUUUAUUUACAAUAAACGGGUAUUCUAUUAUUCAUGUUUGAGGUGGUCUAUAGAACUAGAUCGGAAUAGAAUAACCAAUAACACAAAGCUUUCUAUUCUAUUUUGUGCUCUUAGGAUGUGAGAGAUCUUGAAAUCUGGAAAACAUAGUUAAAAUUUCUAGUCUUGGCUAUCUAAUUUAUCAAGACUUUAUCGCCUCCAAUUUUGUUGCGAAACUUGGCCAUGCAUGAGGCUCAUUUAAUCAUGCAAUUAGAUCCUUGCAAUCCAUCCUAAAUCUCUGACUUGUCGAAUGUUCGAGCAUACUCUCCAUAGGGCAUUGCAGUGCUUCCACUUCUAAAUACAAAACAGCAUCUCGCCGUCUUAAGUUCCCUGUCCCCAAAAGUUGAAACUUCCAAAAGUUGAAACUUCCACAAGUUGUCCAUCCAUAACCGUCCGCAUCCAAUGAACUGAGCUGUAGAGGUCCAUGAGCCAAUAACAUGCACAUAUUACCCAAACUUAAGAAUUGUGGUUCCUCAAUGGGAAGUUCUUGUGGAGAUGAAGACACCAUCUUAUUUGCAUUGAACCAAGCUUGACAUUCGCUUUCGACAUGUUGGACUAGCUCCAAAUAAUCACUGUAUAUCCCUCUAAAAAGUUUAUCAUUUCAAGCAUUCCAGAUAUACCAGAUUAUCUAGGGAUAAAGGUCAUUAUCAAAUUAUGGUUUCUCAAUAUUGUUCUUCCUCCAGAAAAAAAUAAUAUGUAUUGGUAUAAAUGCUCAGUAACGGAAUGAUGUCAGGGUUAGAUGGGGUGCUGAUAAACUGUUCACCAUCAGAGCUUGCAUCGCCUCUGGAGGAGCCUGCGUCUGAUCCAUUGGAUCCCAAUUCCCAAAAUUCAUACGUCUUUCAAAUCCUUUGUUUCAUCGUCAUCACACAAGUCUAAGCAACGCGCACCGCUUGGUCUUUUCCCUGGUAUCAAGAGACCCAUAUCCGAAGGAGGAAAAACUCGGAAAAACUGCCAUCCUCCAAAAAGUCUAUGCCGUCAGUGGAACCCUGACUGCAUCCUACGUGAAUCUCUAAGCCCCAAUGGCUGACUUGCAAACUAAGACCUCUUUUCCAUUGUCUUUAAAACAGAGUUUGAACGCCAUGGAGUCCAACGAGCCACCAGGACAGCUGAUCUCCCAUAGAGGUCCGCUGCUUCAUGCACCUUUUUGGAAACAUAGAGGGGAAAGAGAGAUGUGGUAAUAUUUAACCCACAUCCAAAAGAGGUAAAAUUUAAUUUAAAAUUUUAAAACAGAAAAAAAAAGAAAAACUAAAAACUAAAAUCUAAAUCACCAUUCAAGUUUUUCAAAAACCUAAAAUCUACAAUCAAAAACAAAAAUUUUAAUUAAAAAAAUCUUAACAUUAGAAAACAAAAUCUAAAAAUUAAAAACAAAAACUAAAAUUCGAAAACCAAACAAACAAUCAUUACCUUAGUUUCUCAUAACCUUAUUCUUAUAAAGACUCAUCCAAACAUAUUACUUUCAAAAGCGAUAUACUCUUCCCUUUUUACUGAAAAAUAUACUUAAGGCAGAGACGGUUGUAGACUUUUUUUUUGUGAGCAACAUAACAGACUCUUUAUGACUCUGCAAACCAAACUGGUAACCCCGUAUUCAUGUGAAUUACAAAAGACAACUAUUUUCUAGCACAUCGUGCGAGACUGUCCGCCCUUGUAUUUUGCAUUUGUGGUACAUUUACAACUUUUGAGUGAUUAAAACUUCUUUUGAGGAUCGGGAUAUCUUUUAAAUAAAUUGCAAAAACAUGCCAUUUUUCUGAAUUCGGCAUCAUAUUCACCAAUUGAAAAUAAUCUGUUGCAAUCGUCACUUGAAACUAGCGUAAAUUCCUCAUACUUUCCAUUGUCCAGAUAAGAACCUCUAUAAACAUAAUGUAAGAAAAAGUUUACGUAAGACAUCGCUAAUUUUUACAAUCAGCUACUGAUUGUUUCUUCACCAUGAUCAAUGACUUGUUUGACUAACGAGAGGAAAUCAAUUAAAUGAUGACUAUUACAUACUCUUACUUAUUGAGGGCAUGAAAAGACAAACAUGAAUUAAUGUCACCAGUUGCAACUAAGUUCCUUUGUAAUUUCCUGGAAAUUGCAAAUGAACAAGAUAGUGUGAGUGGCUUUCUUUUUCUAUGUAAGCUUUAUUAUUUUGUCAAAUAAAAAUGUUCAUUCUUGGUUGUUUUGGACGAAUAUGGGCUAAGUCUUCUGUAUAGUUGACUCUGUCAAUUCAUUCAGUGAGGUUUCUUUUUUCAUAUUAUAUUUUGUAAUCCUAAGUAAUCCACUUUAAACAAAAAUUCAAAUAUGUGACAAAUACCAUAUUAUAAAAAGCUUAUACUAACAACAAGAAAAUCAAUAAUCAUCAACUUUUUUUAUUUUCUUAUCUAUUAUUUUAUUCAUCUCAUUAUAUGAAUAGCCAAAAACGAUAUAACGACAUAAAUAUUUGAUUGUUAACAUGUUUUACACUUGAUUUAGUUUGAGUUAGGGAUUUAUUAAAAAUGUUACCAACCAUCGUAUAGUUAUAAAUUUUUUAGUUUUUGUUUGAAUUAUAAUGUGGUAAAGUUGAGUUAUAAUUUUGAGUUGUCUCCUUUACAAAAUAAACAAAUCAAAUGUUAAAUCAACAUCAAAGAAAAUUGCAUCUAUUAGAGUUUGAACUAAAUUGGGUUAGUAUUUUAUUGUUUAGUUAUCUACGUUUGUUUUUUCUUAAGUUUUGUAAAGAAACUUAUCAGCUUAUGAAACAUAGCAAUUGUCCAACAUUUACUUUUGAUUAAUUAAUAAAUAUUCUCAACAAUUGUAUACACCUAUUUAUUUGUUAGUCAAACUUUCUACAAACUUUAUUAUUUCCAUUUAAAUUAUUUAAACAAAAUUGUUUUAUAAUUUAAAUUAUUUAAACAAAAUUGUUUUAUAAUUUAAAUUGUCUAAUUAUUUUGGUCAUUAAAAUUUACAUGCGUAAAAUUAUAUGUUUAUAUGUGUUUUUUGUUAUUAUAUAUAUAUAUGUAUAUUGCAAUAAUUUUAACUAAUAUGUUCAAAUUUUCUCUAUAUAUUUUUCUUAUUAAAUCAUUAACACCUGUUAUUAAUUUAUUUAAGUUUUUCGUUAUUUUAAAUAAUACUUACUACAGUUUAUAAAGUAAAAAGGUUACCAAUCAAUUAUAGUACUAGUAAUUAUAUUUCUGUAAAAAAUAGAUAUUGCAACUUUUUACAAGAUUAUAUUUUAUACAUAUUACAAAUUUCUUCUAAUAUAGUUUAAUAUAUUAUUUUUUUCUUACAAAUAUUUCAUUAUUUAUAUAUUAUAAUUUUAAUUAUUUCAUCAUUACUACAACUUAUACAUCAAAUAAGUUAUCAGUCAUCGAUUUUAAGAAAUGUUAAUUUUUACUCUUAUUUUUAAUGCAAACUUACUACAUAAAUACAAAGCUUCUACCACCUAAAUUUUACUACAAGUUAUAUUGAAUUACAUACAUACUGCAGCUAAAUUUUAAUAGUACAUGUCACCAUUCGGAAUUAAAAAAAAAAAAGAAAGAAAAUCACACAUGUAUCUCAACAAAAA